rnacentral:lncRNA from 1 species
GCUGGAAGUUUGUUUUCUUCUUGGUGCGAGGCAAAUUGUUACAGGAUAUCAGGUCACCAGCUCGAACAGACCCUUCUUGCUCUGUCCCAAGGACAAAGAAGAUGGCUGCUGCGUUCCCCUCUGUGAAGAAUUUGCUGGCCUUUGAAAGAAACGGUCAGUAGAAGAUUCACUGGAUAGUGAAAUUCUUUGUGCCUGGGAUGUGUUCAGUCUGCUUUUCUGCUGCACCAGGAAAGAAGGUCCAGUGUCUUAUUUCAUUCUGGAGCUUUUUGAAACUUUUUACUCUGUACUUUAAUUUUGGCAACCUUGGACUGAUGGGGUUUGUAGAUAUUAAUUAUCAAAUUGUUAUUUAUUAGCUGAUAUUCUUUCAAUUCAAUAAAUAUUUUAAAUCCCUUGUGGUGUCUGUUGAACACGUUACCAGGAAACUGAAAUAAUAUCUUCAGUCUUCCUUUUCUUUCCUCCACAAAAUAGAAAGAAGAUAACUAUACAUAGCUGAUAGUUAUUUUCUCUCAGAAAUUCAAAUAUAUUAUUUUUAAGUGCUUCUGUAAAUAUUUGAACUGAAUGCAAUUUAAAAAAUAAAAAUCUAAAGACCAAUACAAUUUUAUCUCAUAAGAUUUUUAUUUUUGACCUUUAAGUCAAGAAUUAAUAUCUCUAUAUUAGCUGCAAAUGGAUUUAAUUACCUAUAUCUGAUUCCAUGUUAAUAAUAUUAAACCCAACAUAGAAAUAUUGCAAUUAUGGGUGUGGUUUUUACCUAAGUAUUCCCAGGAGCAUUUGGGACCAGGCAGAAUAUGGAAAUGUUAAAGGUUACAGCUCAGGAGCUAAAGGUGCGCCUAUAAUGAACUAAAUCAAAGUUCAAUGAAAUAAAUUCAAGAUAUUUAUUGAUGUUUAUUAGGGACCUUAAUGGAUCCACUUUAUUUACUUGCAGGAUAAUUGGAGUAUAGCAGUGUAAGUAGAAGUUUCAGUAGAAGGAAGCAGCCUAUUGUUAAAGACCAGUUGUUCACUUUGCUGAUGAUUAAACACUGCUCUAAUAUAAAGGCAAAAAAUAUUUGCUGUGUUUUCCUUUUUUCUGUUUAGGCUUAAAGGAAACAUAAGUAGCUGUAGUAUUGUGAUAGAGUAGACACCUAAAGUCAUCAGUUUUAGGUAAAAGGCUAGUGAGGCCACUCCUGAAAUUUUGCGUUGGAGGGGCUACAAAUUACUAUUAUCCUUCUGAUUCCAGUUGUGUGUGUUACAAGUUUAUUUUCUGCAACUUUGAGGACUUGAAAUUUUCCUUAAUGCAUUUGUUCAACUUCUUUCCAAGAAAAUUAUGCUAUUAAUUUAAUUACUAAGAUCUUUAUUUGUAUUUAACUUAUUAAAUAUAUGUGUUAGGAAUUGCUUAGUAGAGUAUUAUUUAUGGUUACAUAAGAAAAACACUGCUAAUAAAUAUAACUAGGAAAGAGGGAAGGCUGCUGGGAUUCAUCACAUACAGCAUAUAGCCAAGGUAUUGUAAAAGCAGUCAUUUAUUAUAUGUGACUGUAUUUACAUUUUUAAUAUUUGUAUUGUCCGGAAGGAUUUUCUUGCAAAAGAGUGGUAAAAGAGGCCAAUAAUCAUUAAUAUAACUAGAUAAGUUCCUUGCAGAAAGGCAGAAAAAUGCUCCAGAAACAUCAUAUGCUAAAUUUUCUAGGAACUGUGGAUAGCUGUGGAUAGCUGGGUUUCAGCCAAUUUUUGACAGCAUAUAAAUAAUUUUGAUAUAUACGAAAGAAACUUUGGAAAAGUUCAGAUGAGCUUUUCCUUGGAGACAUGACUGCACAAAGUUGGGGUGCUGAUUAUAGUUCAUUCAGUGCAAAAUGAUCCCCUAUUCCCAGCUUUAUACUCCAGUAGUAAUUACAUGGGCUCCCAGAAUGGGGCUAAAAAUGAGGCCUCUUUUUAUACAGUAACUUGGCUGUCACAUUUGUCGCAGAGAAAAAAGAAAACCGUUGAUGCGAGUUUGUAACAGGGUUCAAACACUUUUCAGGUUCACCAUUGUUUUUAUUUUCCAAUAGAAUUUCGUUUGACUCUUGCCUACACUUCUAUCUAUUGUUAUCUCUCACUUCUGCUAGCCUCAGCCUGCUUUCUACAUAUACUCCACUCAAAAGAGGCUGAAGCAAUUCUGAAACGUGUUUAUACAAUUAUUCACUGACCACAUCUGUGUCUACACAUGCAGUAUGAAGUAAAGAUUUCUCCCAAUUAUAUUCAGACUCUAACAAAAUGGCAAAUCACUCUGUUAGAAUAACCACUUAAUAACUUCAUUCUGCUCCUAUGUGUCAAUUUAAGUGCAAAUAAAAUUGAUGCCUGAGAAA